GGCGAGUGUCGCCCGUGCCCGCCGUGGCUGCCCGGGGCCUCGUCCCGGGCGGCGGGGUGGGCUCUCCCCUCCCGGCCCUCACGUUUCAGUCUCCCUCUCUCUUCACUUGAGCCCUUUCUGUGGACGGAGGCCUGCUUGCCCUUUCCAGAAGCAAUAUGUAUCUGGAAGAGCAUACUGCCCUCAGAAUCUUGUCACCUCUGUCACCAACCCAUGGAACUUCUUCAUUUCAGCUCUUCAAUUCUUUUUUUUUUUUUUUUUUUGGUGAGGAGGACUAGCCCUGAGCUAACAUCCGAUGCCAAUCCUCCCCUUUUUUCUUGAGGAACAUUGGCCCUGGGCUAACAUCCGUGCCCAUCUUCCUCUACUUUAUAUGGGACGCUGCCACAGCAUGGCUUAACAAGUGGUGUGUCCCUGCGCGCCCGGGAUCCAAACCUGCCACCCCCAGGCUGCUGCAGCGGAGCGCACGCUCUUAACAGCUGUGCCACCGGGCGGCCCCGCUUCAAUUCUUUUUAAGCCUAAAGAUUCUUCAAAGCCCAGCUCAACUGCCUUCUCUAAGAAGCCUUUGAAGAUGACUCCAGUUCAUGCUUCUCUCUUCCGUCCUGGAACACUCAGCACUUGCUCCAGCACCCAGAAGAGUGCCUAGCACGUGGUGGGCAUCUGAUAAACAUUUGCUGCAUGAAUGAACAAAAGAACUUUGGAACUACAGACAAACUCAAAAACAGUACAUCUGUGGAGGCAUCCCAGUGCCAGAGGGAUCCAUCUUCAGAACAAGUAAAAAGAUGAUCGGGAUUGGAUGGGUGGAAAUGAACUUCCCACACUACAAGAUAAAAACCAAGAAGCUUAUUCCUGUGCAGAUUAGUUGAACAAACAUUAAAACUCUGUCUCUAGGCAUCGUCUUCCAUUAACAUCCAUCAUACACCUUCGAACUUCAUGUCUGUGAUAAAAAUCAAAGGCUUCAGAAUUAAAGAAAAAACAUAAUAUAACUCUCCAAAUGGCUGUAACAUGUAGAUAGGAUAAAGAAGCCAAGUAAAUCUACUUGUGUAUUGGGCCAGCAAAUGAAUGAAAAUAAACGCUAAUCAUUUGACCUACUA